UAAGGAAUAUUGGGCAAUGGACGCAAGUCUGACCCAGCCAUGCCGCGUGAAGGAUGAAGGCCCUAUGGGUUGUAAACUUCUUUUAUACGGGAAAAAAACCACCGGUCGUGUAUCGGUGCUGAUGGUACCGUAAGAAUAAGCAUCGGCUAACUCCGUGCCAGCAGCCGCGGGAAUACGGAGGAUGCAAGCGUUAUCCGGAUUCAUUGGGUUUAAAGGGUGCGCAGGCGGAUUAAUAAGUCAGUGGUGAAAUCCUACGGCUCAACUGUAGAACUGCCAGUGAUAUUGUUAGUCUUGAGUAUUGGUGAGGUAGGCGGAAUUCGUCAUGUAGCGGUGAAAUGCUUAGAUAUGACACAGAACACCAAUCGCGAAGGCAGCUUACCAAGCAAUAACUGACGCUCAUGCACGAAAGCGUGGGGAUCAAACA
rnacentral:rRNA from 1 species